rnacentral:rRNA from 1 species
AAAGAAGCUACUAAGAGCAUGUGGGGGAUGCCUUGGCACUAGGAGGCGAUGAAGGACGCGACAAGCUGCGAAAAGCUUCGGGGAGCUGCUAAAUAAGCUUUGAUCCGGAGAUGUCCGAAUGGGGGAACCCGUCUUUCGCAAGAAAGAUACCACGUAAGUGGGGCUAACGCAGGGAAGUGAAACAUCUCAGUACCUGUAGGAAAAGAAAUCAAUGUAGAGAUACCGAAAGUAGUGGCGAGCGAAAUCGGUAGAGCCUAAACCGAUCAGAUUUCUGGUCGGGGUUGCGGGAUUUGUCCAUAAGACAAUAGAAGUUUAGAGGAAGCUCAUGGGAAAGAGCGUCAUAGAGGGUGAUAGCCCCGUACUCGAAAAGCCGAAAUUGUUGGACGAACACCCAAGUAGGGCGGGGCACGAGAAACCCUGUCUGAAUCCGGGAGGACCAUCUUCCAAGGCUAAAUACUACCUAGUGACCGAUAGUGAAUCAGUACCGUGAGGGAAAGGUGAAAAGAACCCCGACAAGGGGAGUGAAAUAGAUCUGAAACCACAUGCUUACAAACAGUCGGAGCGUAAGUGACGGCGUGCCUUUUGCAUAAUGAGCUAGCGAGUUAAUGUAGCAAGCGAGGUUAAGAUGUUAAGCAUCGUAGCCGUAGUGAAAGCGAGCCUGAAUAGGGCGAUAGUUUGCUGCAUUAGACCCGAAACCCAGUGAUCUAUCCAUGAGCAGGUUGAAGCUGUAGUAACAUACAGUGGAGGACCGAACCCGUAAUCGUUGAAAAGAUUUGGGAUGACUUGUGGAUAGGAGUGAAAGGCUAAUCAAACUGGGUGAUAGCUGGUUCUCCUCGAAAUAUAUUUAGGUAUAGCCUCAUGGCAUGCUUAACGGGGGUAGAGCACUGAUUGGGCUAGGGGUCCUACCAGAUUACCAAACCCACUCAAACUCCGAAUACCGUUACAGUUACCAUGGGAGACAGACUGCGGGAGAGAAGUUCCGUAGUCGAAAGGGAAAGAGCCCAGACCACCAGCUAAGGUCCCGAAGACUGCACUAAGUGGAAAACGAUGUGAGAUUGCUUAGACAGCCAGGAGGUUGGCUUAGAAGCAGCCAUCCUUUAAAGAAAGCGUAACAGCUCACUGGUCAAGUGAUUUUGCGCGGAAAAUUCAACGGGGCUAAGUGCAGCACCGAAGCUGUGGACUUUUACGCAAGUAAAAGUGGUAGAGGAGCAUUGUAGCAACCGACGAAGGUGUGCGGCGACGCAUGCUGGAGGAACUACAAGAGCCUAUGCUAGCAUAAGUAGCGAGAAAGCAAGUUAAAAACUUGCUCGCCGAAAGCCCAAGGUUUCCUGGGAAAGGGUAAACCACCCAGGGUUAGUCGGACCCUAAGGCGAGGCCGAAAGGCGUAGUUGAUGGAUGACAGGUUAAUAUUCCUGUACCCAAUGUAAGGAGUGAUGCAGGGGGGGAGAAAGGUAUUUCUAGCCGGUUAUCGAAUUCCGGUCCAAGCGUGUAGGGAGAAGUCGUAGGCAAAUCCGCGAUUUCGUUAAUCCUGAGGCGUGAUGGGUAGGCGCAAGCCGAAGUGAAAGAUCCUCUACUCACGAGAAAAGCUGCUAAACGAUGAUAGACAUUGGUCCGUACCAAAACCGACUCAGGUGGGCGAGGAGAGUAUCCUAAGGCGAUUGAGUGAAACAUGGUCAAGGAACUCGGCAAAUUAACACCGUACCUUCGGUAUAAGGUGUGCCAGCAAUGUGUAGGACUUCGCGUCUGAAGCAUAGUCUGGUUGCAGAGAAGAGGGGGUGGCGACUGUUUACCAAAAACACAGCACUACGCAAAAUCAGAAGAUGAUGUAUGUGGUGUGACGCCUGCCCGGUGCUGGAAGGUUAAAAGGAGGGGUCAGCCGCAAGGUGAAGCUCUGAAUUGAAGCCCCAGUAAACGGCGGCCGUAACUAUAACGGUCCUAAGGUAGCGAAAUUCCUUGUCGGGUAAGUUCCGACCUGCACGAAUGGCGUAACGACUUCCCCGCUGUCUCGACCGUGUGCUCAGCGAAUUUGAAAACCGGGUGCAGAUGCCCGGUACCCGCAGCAAGACGGAAAGACCCCGUGAACCUUCACUACAACUUGACACUGGUAUUCGGAUUGGUUUGUGUAGCAUAGGUGGGAGACAUUGAAGCCAGGGCGCUAGCUCUGGUGGAGUCAACAGUGAAAUACCACCCUGAACAAUCUGGCUAUCUAACCUAGCUAUAACAGUAGCAGGGACCCUGUCUGGUGGGUAGUUUGACUGGGGCGGUCGCCUCCUAAAGAGUAACGGAGGCGCGCAAAGGUUCCCUCAGACCGGAUGGAAAUCGGUCGUAGAGUGCAAACGCAUAAGGGAGCUUAACUGCAAGACAAACGAGUCGAGCAGAUACGAAAGUAGGCGUUAGUGACCCGGUGGCACUGAAUGGAAGGGCCAUCGCUCAACGGAUAAAAGGUACUCCGGGGAUAACAGGCUGAUCUCCUCCAAGAGUUCACAUCGACGAGGAGGUUUGGCACCUCGAUGUCGGCUCAUCACAUCCUGGGGCUGAAGCAGGUCCCAAGGGUUCGGCUGUUCGCCGAUUAAAGUGGUACGCGAGCUGGGUUCAGAACGUCGUGAGACAGUUCGGUCCCUAUCUGCUGUGGGCGUAGGAAAUUUGAGAGGAUCUGACCUUAGUACGAGAGGACCGGGUUGGACAUACCGCUGGUGUACCAAUUGUUUCGUCAGAAGCAUAGUUGGGUAGCUACGUAUGGAAGGGAUAACCGCUGAAAGCAUCUAAGUGGGAAACCCACCUCAAGAUAAGAUUUCCCUGGUUUCGGCCCUAAAGAUCUGUUCGAGAUAAGGACGUUGAUAGGCUGGGUGUGUAAGUGUAGUAAUACAUUGAGCUAACCAGUACUAAUAGAUCGUGAGGCUUUUUUUA